UUCAAAUUACUGAAUAUCUCAUAGGUGCCAGGUUCUAUUCUAGGUACUAAGUCUAAAGCAAAGAACAAAACAGACAAAAAUCUCUCUUCUUAUUCUUGAGGGUGAAGGCAGUCAAUGGAAGAAUAAAUACAUAAAAUAUAUAGUAUGUGCUGCAGGAUCAUCAUGGCAGAUGGGAGGCAGGACUAGAUUGCAGCUCUGACUUGAACAGACAGAGUAGCAUGCAGAGGCUCACGCUGUGGAUUUUAGCUCUAGAUUGACUGCAAGAACAAACGAGCAAUCCUGAGAGGGCCCGCAGACCCUCUGAAGGAAGCAUACUGCUCCCGCAGGACCCAGGAGACACCCAAACACUGUGAGUGCCCCAACUGCAAAAGUGGUAAAGGGAUAUCCUCCUCUCCUGAACACACAUCCCUCCUGGAGAAACUGACAGUCUGUUUGCGGGAGAAGUUUCCCGCAGAUUUCUCAGCAGAAAACCUACAAGCUAGAAGGUAUUGGGGCCCUAUCUUCUUCAACCUCCUCAAACAAAACAAUUACUGGCCAAGAAUUGUGUAUCCAGUGAAGCUAAGCAUCACAUGGAAGGAAACAUACAGUCUUUUUCAGACAAACAAAUGCUGAGAGAAUUCACCACUACCAAGCCACCACUACAAGAACUGCUAAAAGGAGCUCUAAAUCUGAGACCAUCCUGACUAACACGGUGAAACCCCGUCUCUACUAAAAAUACAAAAACUUAGCCAGGCAUGGUGGCGGGCGCCUUUAGUCCCAGCUACUUGGGAGGCUGAGGCUGGAGAAUGGCAUGAACCCAGGAGGUGGAACUUGCAGUGAGCCAGGAUCAUGCCACUGCACUCCAGCCUGGGUAAUAGAGCAAGAUUCCGUCUCAAAAAAAAAAAAAAAUUCUUCAAACUGAAUGACAAUAAUGACACAACCUAUCAAAACCUCUGGGAUACAGCACAGGCAGUGCUAACAGGAAAGUCCAUAGCCUUAAUGCCUCCAUCAAAAAGACUGAAAGAGCACAAACUGACAUUCUAAGGUCACACUUCAAGGAACUAGAGAAACAAGAACAAACCAAACCCAAAACCAGCAGAAGAAAGGAAAUAACCAAGAUCAGAACAGAACUAAAUGAAAUUGAAACCAAAAAAAUACAAAAGAUAAAUGAAAUAAAAAGCUGGUUAUUUGAAAAGAUAAAUACAAUUGAUAGACCUUUAGCAAGAUUAACCAAGAAAAGAAGAGAGAAAAUCUAAAUAAUCUCAUUAAGAAAUGAAACGGGAGAUAUUACAACUGACACUACUGAAAUACAAAAGAUCAUAAAGAUCAUUCAAGGCUACUAUGAACACCUUUAUGCAUAUAAACUAGAAAAGCUAGAAGAGAUGGAUAAAUUCCUGGAAAAAUACAACCCUCUGAGCUCAAAUCAGGAAGAAAUAGCUACCCUGAACAGACCAAUAACAAGCAGCAAGAUUAAAAUGGUAAUUUAAAAACUACCAACAAAAAAAAAGUCCAGGACCAGAUGCAUUCACAGCAGAAUUCUACCGGACAUUCAAAGAAAAAUUGGUACCAAUCCUUGUGACACUAUUCCACAAGAUAGAGAAAGGAGGAACCCUCCCUAACUCAUUCUAUGAAGCCAGCAUCACACUAAUACCAAAACCAGGAAAGGACAUAACCAAAAGAGAAAACUACCGACCAAUAUCUGUGAUGAACUAGAUGCUAAAAUCCUUAACAAAAUACUAGCUAACCAAAUCCAAUACAUAUCAAAAAAAUAAUUCACCAUGAUCAAGUGGGUUUUAUACCAGGAAUGCAGGGAACAUAUCCAAGUCAAUAAAUGUGAUACACCACAUAAACAGAAUUAAAAACAAAAAUCACUUGAUCAUCCCAAUAGAUGCAGAAAAGGCAUUCAACAAAAUCCAGCAUCCUUUAUGAUUAAAACUCUGAGCAAAAUAGGCAUACAAGGGACAUAUCUCAAUGUAAUAAAAGCCAUCGAUGACAAACCCACAGCCACUGUAAUACUGAAUGGGGAAAAGUUGAAAGCUUUCCCUCUGAGAACUGAAACAAGACAAGAAUGCCCACUCUCACUACUCCUCUUCAACAUAGUACUGGAAGUCCUAGCCAGAGCAAUCAGACAAGAGAAAGAAAUAAAGAGCAUCCAAAUCGGUAAAGAGGAAGUCAAACUGUCACUGUUUGCUGACAAUAUGAUUGUUUACCUUGAAAACCCUAAAGACUCCUCCAGAAAGCUCCUAGAACUGAUAAAAGAAU
rnacentral:lncRNA from 1 species